rnacentral:lncRNA from 1 species
GGCCUGGUGGUGCGUGCCUGUAGUCCCAGCUACUCUGGAAGCUGAGGCAGGAGGAUCUCUUGAGCCCAGGAUUUGGAGGUUGCAGUGAGAUAUGAUGACCUCACAGCACUAUAGUUUGGGUAACAGAAAAAAAAUGAAAGAAAAAGAAAUUUUAUCUAUCUUCUUUAUAUAUAAUUUCCUUCUUUAUAUUGGAAGAGGCCAAAUUCAUUAGAUCUUGAAGGAAAGGGUGACAGACUUUCUCAGUCAUGUUACUGUGAGCCCACUUUAGUAUCCUCUCAGUAAGAGGUCAAAUUUUCACAGUCUAGAACGAACCCCCUGGGAGCAUAGCAUUUUUCAGUAUCUUUCCCAAGUCAGCUCAUUGACUCAUGGGUGUAAAGGCAAGUUGACCUUUAGAAGCAGUUGGUUAAUUAUAUAUCCACACUUAUCUUCCAUUCAGGUAACCUUUGCCAAGCACAGCCGCUUCUGUGCUCAGGAAUGGGCAUCCCUUCCUGUUCUUUCUCAACACAGAACUGGGUUCUGGCCUUCACAUCCUUAUGGCGGGUCCAGGAGAUAGAGGAGUAAGCCUGACAUGCGCAGGAAGGAGAUGGUUUCCCCAGCCUGAGGCCCAGUGGAAAGAUGCCAGGGGAGAGAAGAUAGCAUCUCUCUCUGAGGAUGAGACCCAAGAUGGUGACCGCUGUUCCAGCAGGGGCAUCCCUCACUGUGAGAGACCGCUCAAAGAGAAACGUGCCGGCUCCACGAAGAACGCUUUCUUUGGACAAGAACGGAUGGAAACUAUUUCUAUCCCAGGUAGCAUUUGCUGUGACUUUCCCCGUACUUGUGGUUUGCAUGAGUGCUGUUGUGGUUUUGGUCUGGAAAGAAAAAACAGGAAAAGAAGAGAGUAUGGAAGGCCAAAGAAGAAAAGGAAAAGGUGAAGCCAGAGGUAAAUCUAUGAAUCAGACGCGGUGGGGUUUGUGAAUUUGUGGGUGUGUUAGCAUGGCUGUGUGCAUGGAUGGCGCCUGUUGGAACACAGAGACAUGUAGAAGACCAAGUUAGAAAUCUGAGACCUCCCGCAAGGCCCAGGGCCCAGGGCCCCUAUGAGAAAAAUGCUAUGAUAGAAUCCAAUGGAG